AUUAAACACUGCACACUAAACAUCGGGACCUCUUCGAGAGGUUUCGGUGCUGUAGGGAAGCCGAAGAGUGUGCUACCUGGGAAGUAUAGUCGCAAGGCCGAAACUUAAAGGAAUAGGCGGGGAGACACUACAACGGGUGACGCGUGCGGUUUAAUUAGACUAUACACCGUGAACCUCACCAGGAGCGACAGCAGAAUGAAGGUCAGUCUGAAGGGCUUACCUGACACGCUGAGAGGAGCUGCAUGGCCGACGUCAGCCUGUGCUGUGAAGUGACCUGUUAAAUCAGGUAACAGGCAAGACCCACAUACAUAUUUGCUAAUGAACUAUAUGUAGAUUGCCUUGGCAACGAGGAUGAAAGUGUGGGCUACGUUAGGUGAGUACAGCCCGAAUCCCCUGGGCAACACGCGCGCGUCAAUGGUGGAUACAACGGGAUGCGACUCUGAAAAGAGAAGCCAAUCUCCUAAAGUCCAUCUCAGUCCAGAUUGAGGUUUGUAACUCAGCCUCAUGACGCUGGAAUCCGUAGUAAUCGUUUGUUAUCAACGAACGGUGAAUACGUCACUGUCUCUUGCACUCACUGCCCGUCAAACCAACCGAGUUUAUUUAUGAUGAAACCCUUCGGGGGAGAAUCUUGGGUAGACAAGGUAGGUUAAGUCGUCACAAGGUAUCUGUAGGGGAACCUGCAGAUG
rnacentral:rRNA from 1 species